rnacentral:rRNA from 1 species
AGAGUUUGAUCCUGGCUCAGGACGAACGCUGGCGGCGUGCCUAAUACAUGCAAGUAGAACGCUGAAGAGAGGAGCUUGCUCUUCUUGGAUGAGUUGCGAACGGGUGAGUAACGCGUAGGUAACCUGCCUUGUAGCGGGGGAUAACUAUUGGAAACGAUAGCUAAUACCGCAUAACAAUGGAUGACACAUGUCAUUUAUUUGAAAGGGGCAAUUGCUCCACUACAAGAUGGACCUGCGUUGUAUUAGCUAGUAGGUGAGGUAACGGCUCACCUAGGCGACGAUACAUAGCCGACCUGAGAGGGUGAUCGGCCACACUGGGACUGAGACACGGCCCAGACUCCUACGGGAGGCAGCAGUAGGGAAUCUUCGGCAAUGGGGGCAACCCUGACCGAGCAACGCCGCGUGAGUGAAGAAGGUUUUCGGAUCGUAAAGCUCUGUUGUAAGUCAAGAACGAGUGUGAGAGUGGAAAAUUCACACUGUGACGGUAGCUUACCAGAAAGGGACGGCUAACUACGUGCCAGCAGCCGCGGUAAUACGUAGGUCCCGAGCGUUGUCCGGAUUUAUUGGGCGCAAAGCGAGCGCAGGCGGUUUGAUAAGUCUGAAGUUAAAGGCUGUGGCUCAACCAUAGUUCGCUUUGGAAACUGUCAAACUUGAGUGCAGAAGGGGAGAGUGGAAUUCCAUGUGUAGCGGUGAAAUGCGUAGAUAUAUGGAGGAACACCGGUGGCGAAAGCGGCUCUCUGGUCUGUAACUGACGCUGAGGCUCGAAAGCGUGGGGAGCGAACAGGAUUAGAUACCCUGGUAGUCCACGCCGUAAACGAUGAGUGCUAGGUGUUGGAUCCUUUCCGGGAUUCAGUGCCGCAGCUAACGCAUUAAGCACUCCGCCUGGGGAGUACGACCGCAAGGUUGAAACUCAAAGGAAUUGACGGGGGCCCGCACAAGCGGUGGAGCAUGUGGUUUAAUUCGAAGCAACGCGAAGAACCUUACCAGGUCUUGACAUCCCGAUGCUAUUUCUAGAGAUAGAAAGUUACUUCGGUACAUCGGUGACAGGUGGUGCAUGGUUGUCGUCAGCUCGUGUCGUGAGAUGUUGGGUUAAGUCCCGCAACGAGCGCAACCCCUAUUGUUAGUUGCCAUCAUUCAGUUGGGCACUCUAGCGAGACUGCCGGUAAUAAACCGGAGGAAGGUGGGGAUGACGUCAAAUCAUCAUGCCCCUUAUGACCUGGGCUACACACGUGCUACAAUGGUUGGUACAACGAGUUGCGAGUCGGUGACGGCAAGCUAAUCUCUUAAAGCCAAUCUCAGUUCGGAUUGUAGGCUGCAACUCGCCUACAUGAAGUCGGAAUCGCUAGUAAUCGCGGAUCAGCACGCCGCGGUGAAUACGUUCCCGGGCCUUGCACACACCGCCCGUCAA